rnacentral:misc_RNA from 1 species
GGAAGGAUCAUCAACAACUUUUCUUUAGCCAGCAACUGCUUGACGCAGUUGGACAGCUGGGGAGGAAACAUGGGCGCCCGGGGGAGGGUCACUCGACGAGAGUGACAGGAACCGGGAAGCACACAUUUAGACAGGAGAGUGAUUGUAAUAUAAUUUAAUGUAUUGUAAUGGAGAGAUGGAUGUAUGUUUGUAUUAUACAAGUGUAUAACAUGACAUGCACCCAUCCAUCCCCAAAAUAAACGUAAACAAAAUAUACUUUGAACAAUGGAUCUCUGGGCUCCUGCAUCGAUGAAGAACGUGGUGAAAUGCGAAAAGCGAUGCGAACAGCAAGCACUGCGAGACAUGAGGUCUUUGAACGCAAAUGGCACCGCAGGACGACUGCGGUAUGUGCGACUGAAAACGACAAAGCAACUCGCCACUAGAAAGGUGGCGGACAUGGGCUUGGAGGGGGGAGUGCUUUUUCCCACCAGCCUUGAAUAGUUUAGCUAGCAAUUGCUUCACAGUUGAAGCAUGAUGGUGAUAUGAUGAGAGUCACAAACAAUCCCAGCUGGUCCAACUGCUAGGCAGUUGCCGGCUAAAAUGGUGACAGCUUGACGUGGAAGGGAGCAGGACUAACAAUGAAUGCCAGCUGUCCAACUGCGUCAAGCAGUUGCCGUCAAAAACGUUUCAGAUUGGGCAAGAUUACCCGCCGAACUUAAGCAUAUCAGUAAGCGGAGGAAAAGAAACUAACAAGGAUUCCCCCAGUAGCGGCGAGCGAACAGGGACGAGCCCAGGUUUGGAAUCGAACAAUGUAAAAGUUGGACGAAUUGUAGUCUGGACAGCGGCGACGAACGAGCGAGGGCAGGCCAUUGAGCGUUCUGGAAGGGACGGCCGAAGAGGGUGAGAGCCCCGUGGAAUGGCAGGCUGGGCACGUGGAGCGCGGGCUGGAAGAGUCGGGUUGCUUGGGAAUGCAGUCCAAAGAAGAGGGUGGUAAACUCCAUCCAAGGCUAAAUACGGGCAGGAGACCGAUAGCGAACAAGUACCGUGAGGGAAAGAUGAAAAGCACCCUGGAAAGGGAGUGAAAAGUGCGUGAAAUUGUUGAAAGGGAAACGCUUCUCUCUUUUUUGACGGCAACUGCUUCGCAGUUGGAGCAGCUGGGGGAUGGAUGGACAGCGCAGGCUGGACACUGGAACUCGGUGGGACAAUUGGGAGCGUUGUUGGGACUCGGGGCCGCUUUCGCUAGGCUCACAGGGUAUCAGUUGGUGAUUGAGUAGCAAUGCUCAAGGAUCACAGAUGACGGGAGCAAGGGGAGAGGUGGUAGACACAGGGAUGGUGAGUGUUGAGAGGUAGCUUCUUUCGAGAACAGACUGCAAGCAGACUGGGCAAGAUGGAAGCCACCAGCAACAACACCCAUGUCCCAUAAGGUGUCGGACCCGAGAAGGAGCGAAACGACCCGUCUUGAAACACGGACCAAGGAGUCUAACGGAGAUGCGAGUGUUAGGGUGGCAAACCCGAACGCGGAAAGAAAGUGAGGCGCGGGAACACGACAACCUUAUGUGGUAAGAGUGUGCACCGCGGGCCCAGUACCGGUAAAGGUACCAGGAGCCAGAGCAUGGACGUUGGGACCCGAAAGACGGUGAACUAUGCCUGGACAGGAUGAAGCCAGAGGAAACUCUGGUGGAGGUCCGCCGCCGUUCUGACGUGCAAAUCGAUGGCUGGAUCUGGGCAUAGGGGCGAAAGACUAAUCGAACCGUCUGGUAGCUGGUUCCCUC